GCGCCCAUAGCUCAGCUGGAUAGAGCAGCAGUUUCCUAAACUGCGUGUCGGAUGUUCAAGUCAUCUUGGGCGCA
rnacentral:tRNA from 1 species